GACGAACGCUGGCGGCGUGCUUAACACAUGCAAGUCGAACGGACAGGCCCUGCUCUUGUGGGGUGCUCGAGUGGCGAACGGGUGAGUAACACGUGAGUAUAAUGCACUUGACUUUGGGAUAACUUCAGGAGACUGGGGCUCAUACCGGAUAGGAUCUCCUGCUGCAUGGUGGGGGUUAGAAAGUUUCGGCGGUUGGGGAUGGACUCGCGGCUUAUGCGCUUGUUGGUCGGGUAGUGGAUUACCAAGGCUGUGACGGGUAGGCGGCAUGAGAGGGGGACCAGGCACAAUGGGACUGAGAGACGGAGCAGACUCCUACGGUCGGCAGUAGUGGGGAAUAUUGCACAACGGGCGGAAGUCUGAUGUAGCAACGCUGCGUGCGGAAUGCUGGGUUUCGGGGUGUAAACCGCUUUCUCCUGUGCCGAAGCGUGAGUGACGGUAAUGGGUAAAGAAGCACCGGCUAACUACGUG
rnacentral:rRNA from 1 species